rnacentral:rRNA from 1 species
UAAAAUUAUUUUAAAUAAUAUAUUAGAAAUGAAAUGUUAUUCGUUUUUAAAGGUAUCUAGUUCUUUAAGAAAUAAAUUUAAUUUAUAAAUUUUAUAUUAUUUAAUUUAAUAUAUUAAUUAAAUAAAUAUUUAAUUUUAAUAUUUUAUGGGAUAAGCUAUAAAAUAAAUUUUUAAAAAUUAAUAAAUAAAUUAAUAAAUAUAAACUUAAAAAUAGUUAUUGUUAAUAAAAAUGUUAUAAUUUAUUUUUUAAAAAUAUUAUUUAUUUUGAUUUUAAAUUUUUAUUAAAGUAUUUAUUUUAAUAUAAAAAGUAAAAUAAUAAUGAUAAAAUUAGUAUAUUUUUAUGUAAAUAUAAAUUUAAUUGAUAAGUUUUUUUAAAGAACUCGGCAAAAAUAAUGUUCGCCUGUUUAACAAAAACAUGUCUUUAUGAAUUACAUUUAAAGUCUAGCCUGCCCACUGAAAUAAAAUUUAAAUGGCCGCAGUAUUUUGACUGUGCAAAGGUAGCAUAAUCAUUAGUCUUUUAAUUGAAGGCUGGAAUGAAUGGUUGGACGAAAUAUUAACUGUUUCAUUAAAAUUUUUAUUAGAAUUUUAUUUUUUAGUUAAAAAGCUAAAAUUUAUUUAAAAGACGAGAAGACCCUAUAAAUCUUUAUAUUUAAAUUAUUGUAAUUUUUUAGAAUUGUUUUAUUAUUAUAAUUAAUAAUAUUUUAUUGGGGUGAUAUUAAAAUUUGAUAAACUUUUAAUUUAUUAUAUCAUUAAUUUAUGAAUAUAUGAUCCGUUAUUAACGAUUAAAAAAUUAAGUUACUUUAGGGAUAACAGCGUAAUUUUUUUGGAGAGUUCAUAUCGAUAAAAAAGAUUGCGACCUCGAUGUUGGAUUAAGAUAUAAUUUUAGGUGUAGCCGCUUAAAUUUUAAGUCUGU